UGGGGAAUAUUGCGCAAUGGGGGGAACCCUGACGCAGCCAUGCCGCGUGAAUGAAGAAGGCCUUCGGGUUGUAAAGUUCUUUCGGUAUUGAGGAAGGUUGAUGUGUUAAUAGCACAUCAAAUUGACGUUAAAUACAGAAGAAGCACCGGCUAACUCCGUGCCAGCAGCCGCGGUAAUACGGAGGGUGCGAGCGUUAAUCGGAAUAACUGGGCGUAAAGGGCACGCAGGCGGUUAUUUAAGUGAGGUGUGAAAGCCCCGGGCUUAACCUGAGAAUUGCAUUUCAGACUGGGUAACUAGAGUACUUUAGGGAGGGGUAGAAUUCCACGUGUAGCGGUGAAAUGCGUAGAGAUGUGGAGGAAUACCGAAGGCGAAGGCAGCCCCUUGGGAAUGUACUGACGCUCAUGUGCGAAAGCGUGGGGAGCAAACAGGAUUAGAUACCCUGGUAGUCCACGCUGUAAACGCUGUCGAUUUGGGGGUUGGGGUUUAACUCUGGCGCCCGUAGCUAACGUGAUAAAUCGACCGCCUGGGGAGUACGGCCGCAAGGUUA
rnacentral:rRNA from 1 species